GCUGCGAUUGGUUCAUGGAAGCAGAUCCCUUGUGAAUGGGUUUAGUGUCCUUACCCAAGAGGUUGCACAGAGAACCCUCAUUUCCUCUGCCAGCACUUGAGCAGACUGGGACGUGUAACCAUGAGCGCUUACGAUGCAGCCAGGACCGUGUGUCAGCAUCGUGAUCUUUGGGAAGUGCUGAGUUAAGCACAGACUUCCCCUUACGAUGACGUCUUCCUGAGAAGCCAGCUCUGCUCCGUAUACAGUCCAGUCCCUGACUCAUCUUUGCAGCUGUGUCACGAGGUGUUCAUGGCAGGAUCUGGGUCUGAACCAUCUCGGGAACCCAGUGAAGCUCAGCACAUACCCAAUGUGGGUUUCCAGAGAAGAAACAGCUUGUGCAAAAACCCGGAGGAGGGGGGGAAUCUGGGACAAACCAACAAUUCUAUGUGUGUCAUUUAAGGUGCAGGGUGGUGGGGAUUGGUGAAAAGGUCCACGGUGGUAGAUUAUGGAGGACCCUGAAAUCCACGAAGGACCUGGGACUUGCCCUGAAGGGGAUGAGAGCCAGGCAUGGAUAUGAUGGAGAGCAACACCAGCUGACCACACAUCAGGCGGUGAAGCAUAAAGAAAACCAACGCAGGGGGCAAAGAGAAUGACACCCCUAAGUCCAGCCAGCUUCUUGUUCCCCUGGCCCUGCUCUCAGGGACAAGGAGAACCUUCUCUUGACUGCUCAGGCUCCAACCAUCCUCAACCUCCGCAGGUUAAGUCUGUGCCCACAGCAUGGCUGGCUGUGCACGCAGGCCAGGGCCUUCCUUGAAUGUCCCUUAGGUCCCUUAGGAACCCAAGAGACAGCUCCCCAGUGGGUUUCUGCUACCACAGACUGAUGCCCAGGGUGGGAAUCCCAGGUGCCUGGGAGUCUACAACUGGGCUUAGGAAAGCCACCUUUUGUGCCAUCCUCCGAGACUCCUGUCUCUUGCCAUAAGUCCUUCCUCUGAUCCCCAGGAUGUGUGGCUCACCUUGGAGCAGACUUUGGAAAAGUUCAGUUGGCUGGAGAACCCCUACCUUGGUCAGGCCUCUGAGAGAGGGUGGUCCAUGCAGUGUUAUAGAAAGGAGAGAAUGAACCAGCGUGUGGCCUGGUAGUUAAGGUGACUGGAUCCCACACGGCUGGCAAGACAGUUCUAUUCCUGGGUCCAGUGGCUUGAAAAACACAUGUGCCCAUGAGCUGCAGGGGAGCCGCACCAUGCCGCUCCUCUGACUACUCCUACUCUAAUGCCAAACACUGGGGAUACCUUUAUCCUCCCGUGAGCCUCUUGGCGUCGUUAGCACAGGCCAGUGUGUUCCUGCAGUUCCCAGUGUUCCCCUGAAGUGUUAAACAGGUGAU